rnacentral:lncRNA from 1 species
AUGUCUUCACUGUCUGGUUGUGAUCUCCAGGUUGUGCCAGUCAGCUUUCGUAUGGUAUUCUUUCUAGCACCCACUUUUUGCUGGAUAUUGAUAGUUUUGUUGACAAAAGGGACUAAGUUUCAUUCUGUGUUUCAGGGGCAAAAAGGUGAUCCUGGGUUGUCUCCUGGAAAAGCACGGAACGGACAGAAGGGUGAUGUGGGUUUACCUGGGCUAACUGGGUUUCCUGGACAGUCUGGUAGGAAGGUAAGUGUUCUUUAUGCUUGGUUUUGGUCAUCAUCUCAGGAAGUUUUCAUUCAAGAAAUCUAUAGAGGGGGGCAUGAAAGAUCUGUACUAGUCCUGACGAUAAUUCAUACCCAUGUCUACCGGGUGAGGUCUAACCAACACAGAAGAGAGUGAGACUUUGACUUCAUUCUAGCCAUUAUACUCCUCUUGAUGCAGCCUAGAAUUGCAUUGGCUUUUUAGCUGCUGCAUCACACUGUUGACUCAUAUUCCUCUUACGGUCUAUUAAAUCAUGUAGAUCUCUUUCACGUGGACUGUUUUCAUGACAAACACCACCCGUCCUAUAUCCAUGCCAGUGGUUCCCAACCGUUUUUUGACCAGGGACCACUUUGACUUUUGACCCUCUGGUUAUGUGACUGACAUGAUUGCUUUGGAGUGUUUUAAAACAUUCAGGUCAGCAGUUCAGCAAUACAAGGGUAUUACCCAGUGAUGGGCAACCUUUUGAGCUUGCUGUGUCAAAAUUCGCCAAAACAAAAACACCCCGAGCAUAACUUGGGUGGUGUGUCACUUCGAGAAAAAAACCCAUAAUUAUGCGAUAUUUGUAGUUUAAAUAACAAAAAUGUAUAAUUCUAAUAUAUAACUGUAGUUAAUAAACCAAAAACUAAUUAUUUAGCUAUACUACACUAUAGCAAAUGUUUUAUCCUCAACUAUUGCACCUGGUUGUUGCAGGAGCCGAAGAUGAAACGUCCUUCUCAGCAUGCGGCCCCAUACUUCUCUGUAUUUGGCCACAUGCAGCUACGUGUCAUUGAAAAUGGCUAAGUGUGUCAGUGCUGACACGCGUGUCAUAGGUUCGCUAUCACGGGUUUAACCCAUUGUGCCGCCAAUCAUGACGGUUGGUUAGGCCAAAUCCACAUCCUCACUUAUUUCCAAUGUAGUGGGCAAAUAAUUGUUCUGAAGAGUCCUUCAAUAUUUGAAAAGUGCUUGAAAUUAAUCCCAUACAAUGAGAAGAGAAGUGAACUGUGGGUGAAUGUCGUGCUUUCCUCAUACUGACCAGAAGCUCCUGCCAUGAGGCAAACCUAUUGACAAGUCAGCGUAUGAGCUGAAGACAUUGAUUGUGUGUCUGUGUGUAUAUAUGUGUGUGGCGAAACGUGUGCCGCAUUGUUUUCAGAGCCCUUCCCACAGCUAUAUUGUUUUCUGCUGCCUCAGAGCUAUUUUCCUUGAAUCUUUACAUGCCUUCCCCCUUUCUGAGUUUAUUUUAAAAUAGGGUAGAAGCCAAAAUGUGUUCUUUUUCUGUGCCACAGUUCACACCAAAAGGUAUGUCUGCCUCAUGAUUUCCCAGGGCAUCGGCCCCACUGGUGGUUUGGCUGUUCCCACUCUGGCUUGCCCACAACCAUCUUCUGCCCAUUUACAAAAGUAUCUGAAACAGCUGAACAAACAAUCAGGGAGAGCUUUUUUCCCUUGAUGGGAUGGGCAGUUCUCAAUAUGAAUGGCAGAGCAGAGUUUCCCAGAACGUUCUUCCUCUGUGAUAAUAGCAAACCCAGGUUUGUGGGUUUUGUGUGUUCCUUGUACACAAUUUGGCACAAUGCAUGGGAUGGAAGCAGAUGAUGGAGGUUGUGUUGAACGACCAUCUCCGUCAUCCACAGCCAGCAUGGACUUCCAGCUUGUCUCCUGAGGAAGGACAAGCAGCGCUUACUGACCAUCUGAUGUCAACGUAACCUAUUAGCUCAUGGGUCAGGAGCCAACUGGUUUGGGACACUGUCAUCAGUUAGCGUUGGACUGGCUCCAUCUUCACUGUUGCCUGGUUGCAGAAGACAAAGAACAGACAGUGAGGAAGAAAGACAGACCGACAGUUUCAGUGAAGAAGGAUGAGGAAAGCACAGCAUACAUCAGGACCACGGCCAACCCGAAGGCAACACGGAGGAGCCAGUUGUGGUUGAAAGAACAUUGCAAUUGGCCAGGACACAGCCAGAUGGUUCUGUGGCUUUCUGGGACUCCUUGGAUGGCUUUGGCAACUUCUCUUAGAAUUGAAGAACCCAGAUUGUCUUUUUGAAGGCUUGCCGACAUCUGAUACUCCCUGCCGGCCGAAGCACGCAGUAGCCUCAGAUCUGGCUUUUGCUUCUGAUCCUGUUGCUAUACCAUCAGAAAUGUAAAGUACUUUUUUGGAUCCCAAACAGGAGCUGGAAGGUUUUCAGCUCCCUAUUAAAGGAGACUGCACUGGGGUGGUUGUCUUUCAUGCUUGGCAAACACAAACCCAGUUGUCUUUCUUUCCAUGAGCUCCUGCAAUGCAUUUGACUCUGAUGAGACGAACUAGGAUUAUCACUGUAUAUUUAUACAUGGAAGAAAGGGCUGGUAAAGUGCAAAAGAUAGGGCUCCAGAGAUCCAAGAUUCUCCAAAGUGCCAUUUCUUUGCCAAGAUGAGGUAGGGAGGAAUACACAAGGGUGGAGUGUGGCCAACCAGAUCUUCAGAAAUCUGGAAUUUAGCAAGUGAUGAUAUCUUUUUCAUGGGGACGUUGUUUUGUCCAUAUGUAGCAGUACCUCUAAUGUUUUGGAAAUAUUUUAACAACAAUAACAACAGCUUUUAAACCUAUAUUUUGAACAGGGACAGAAAGGAUAUCUAGGCCCAGCAGGUCAUCCCGGAGACCAGGUGAGGUUUUGUUUGGUUCGGCAUGUCUGCAUAUCUGCAUGGGGCACCCUUUUACCUUCCUGCCAAGGCAGUACCCAUUGAUUUACUUGCAUUGUAUGCUAGGUUGGCAGGAGCUAGGGCUGGCAGUUGGGAGCUCACCCUGACUCGCAGCUUCAAACCACUAACCCUCCAGUCAGCACCUUUUUGCUGCAGCUAGCGGUUAUAAUUGUGUGCAGAUAAUGUGGGUUUUUCUGCCUUGAUAUUCUGGGUUAUAUCUGUGUGGAAGGCCCUAAGCGGACUGAGAGCUUCAUGAAAUGUUAUUGUUAGGAUAGCCCAGGCAUGGGCAAACUUUGGCCCUCCAGGUGUUAUGGAUAUCGUCACCCAAAUAAAUUCCUAACAACUCAUUGACCCAAA